rnacentral:rRNA from 1 species
UACGUAGGGACCAAGCGUUGUUCGGAUUUACUGGGCGUAAAGGGCGCGUAGGCGGCAAUUCAAGUCAGUUGUGAAAUCUCCGAGCUUAACUCGGAACGGUCAACUGAUACUGUUUUGCUAGAGUGCAGAAAGGGCAACCGGAAUUCUUGGUGUAGCGGUGAAAUGCGUAGAUAUCGAGAGGAACACCAGUGGCGAAGGCGGCUCACUGGCCCGAUACUGACGCUGAGGCACGAAAGCGUGGGGAGCAAACAGG